AACGAACGCUGGCGGCAGGCCUAACACAUGCAAGUCGAGCGCGCCCUUCGGGGUGAGCGGCGGACGGGUGAGUAACGCGUGGGAACGUGCCCUUUUCUACGGAAUAGCCUCGGGAAACUGAGAGUAAUACCGUAUACGCCCUUUGGGGGAAAGAUUUAUCGGAAAAGGAUCGGCCCGCGUUGGAUUAGGUAGUUGGUGGGGUAAUGGCCUACCAAGCCGACGAUCCAUAGCUGGUUUGAGAGGAUGAUCAGCCACACUGGGACUGAGACACGGCCCAGACUCCUACGGGAGGCAGCAGUGGGGAAUCUUAGACAAUGGGGGCAACCCUGAUCUAGCCAUGCCGCGUGAGUGAUGAAGGCCUUAAGGUUGUAAAGCUCUUUCAGCUGGGAAGAUAAUGACGGUACCAGCAGAAGAAGCCCCGGCUAACUCCGUG
rnacentral:rRNA from 1 species